CUCCAGAUAGCUUAAUGGAUAUAGCUAAGGAUCGCCAAUCCGGAGACGGCGGGUUCGAUUCCCGUUCCGGUCG
rfam:Aedes albopictus isolate Foshan contig125933, whole genome shotgun sequence.